rnacentral:lncRNA from 1 species
UCGGUUUCUGAUCUCUGUUCCUCGUGGUAGCGACUGAAUCUAGUGUUACUUGAUCACUUGUGGAGGUAUCGAUGAACGAUCCGUCACAGAUGUUGAGCCGCGGUUUCGGGAUCUGGCCGCCUCCGGCGGACGAUCCUAUGGGGUUCCCGGGCCAGCCUCGGCCGCCUCCAUUCGCGGCCGUUGGCGGGGGCGGUAAGCCCGGCCGUAUGAGCUGGAAGGGCACUAAGGCGGCAGUGGCCGGAGGAGUCGUCGGCGCGGCCGGCGGCACUGUCUCCGGAUACAACCCUCUCGGCCUUGGCGAGCACCAGUUCCAG